rnacentral:rRNA from 1 species
UACGUAGGGUGCAAGCGUUAAUCGGAAUUACUGGGCGUAAAGCGUGCGCAGGCGGCUUUGCAAGUCAGAUGUGAAAUCCCCGGGCUUAACCUGGGAACUGCAUUUGUGACUGCAUGGCUGGAGUGCGGCAGAGGGGGAUGGAAUUCCGCGUGUAGCAGUGAAAUGCGUAGAUAUGCGGAGGAACACCGAUGGCGAAGGCAAUCCCCUGGACCUGUACUGACGCUCAUGCACGAAGGCGUGGGGAGCGAACGGG